AAAGCCCCGCAAGGGGUAAGUAGAGUGGCAAACGGGUGAGUAACACGUGGGUGACCUGCCUUCGAGCGGGGGAUAACGUCCCGAAAGGGUCGCUAAUACCGCAUGACAUCCUGCCUUUGAACAGGCGGCGAUCAAAGCUGGGGAUCGCAAGACCUAGCACUCGAAGAGGGGCCCGCGCCUGAUUAGCUAGUUGGUGGGGUAACGGCUCACCAAGGCAACGAUCAGUAUCCGGCCUGAGAGGGCGGACGGACACACUGGGACUGAGACACGGCCCAGACUCCUACGGGAGGCAGCAGUGGGGAAUUGUUCGCAAUGGGCGCAAGCCUGACGACGCAACGCCGCGUGGAGGAUGAAGAUCUUCGGGUCGUAAACUCCUUUCGAUCGAGACGAACGGCCUCCGGGUGAACAAUCCGGAGGAGUGACGGUACCGAGAGAAGAAGCCCCGGCUAACUCCGUGCCAGCAGCCGCGGUAAUACGGGGGGGGCAAGCGUUGUUCGGAAUUACUGGGCGUAAAGGGCUCGUAGGCGGCCAACUAAGUCAGACGUGAAAUCCCUCGGCUUAACCGGGGAACUGCGUCUGAUACUGGAUGGCUAGAGGUUGGGAGAGGGAUGCGGAAUUCCAGGUGUAGCGGUGAAAUGCGUAGAUAUCUGGAGGAACACCGGUGGCGAAGGCGGCAUCCUGGACCAAUUCUGACGCUGAGGAGCGAAAGCCAGGGGAGCAAACGGGAUUAGAUACCCCGGUAGUCCUGGCCCUAAACGAUGAAUGCUUGGUGUGGCGGGUAUCGAU
rnacentral:rRNA from 1 species